rnacentral:rRNA from 1 species
UACGAAGGGGGCUAGCGUUGUUCGGAAUUACUGGGCGUAAAGCGCACGUAGGCGGACAUUUAAGUCAGGGGUGAAAUCCCAGAGCUCAACUCUGGAACUGCCUUUGAUACUGGGUGUCUUGAGUAUGGAAGAGGUGAGUGGAAUUCCCGGUGUAGCGGUGAAAUGUGUAGAGAUCGGGAGGAACACCGGUGGCGAAGGCGGGUCUCUGGGCAAUUCCUGACGCUGAGGCGCGAAAGCGUGGGGAGCAAACGGG